AUUGAACGCUGGCGGCAGGCCUAACACAUGCAAGUCGAGCGCCGUAGCAAUACGGAGCGGCAGACGGGAGAGUAACACGUGGGAACGUACCCUUUGGUUCGGAACAACCCAGGGAAACUUGGGCUAAUACCGGAUAAGCCCUUACGGGGAAAGAUUCAUCGCCGAAGGAUCGGCCCGCGUCUGAUUAGCUAGUUGGUGGGGUAAUGGCCCACCAAGGCGACGAUCAGUAGCUGGUCUGAGAGGAUGAUCAGCCUCACUGGGACUGAGACACGGCCCAGACUCCUACGGGAGGCAGCAGUGGGGAAUAUUGGACAAUGGGCGCAAGCCUGAUCCAGCCAUGCCGCGUGGGUGAUGAAGGCCUUAGGGUUGUAAAGCCCUUUCGGCGGGGAAGAUAAUGACGGUACCCGCAGAAGAAGCCCCGGCUAACUUCGUGCCAGCAGCCGCCGUAACAC
rnacentral:rRNA from 1 species